rnacentral:rRNA from 1 species
AGUGAACGCUGGCGGUAGGCCUAACACAUGCAAGUCGAACGGCAGCACAGUAAGAGCUUGCUCUUACGGGUGGCGAGUGGCGGACGGGUGAGGAAUACAUCGGAAUCUACUUUUUCGUGGGGGAUAACGUAGGGAAACUUACGCUAAUACCGCAUACGACCUACGGGUGAAAGCAGGGGAUCUUCGGACCUUGCGCGAUUGAAUGAGCCGGUGUCGGAUUAGCUAGUUGGCGGGGUAAAGGCCCACCAAGGCGACGAUCCGUAGCUGGUCUGAGAGGAUGAUCCGCCACACUGGAAGUGAGACACGGUCCCGACUCCGACGGGAGGCAGCAGUGGGGAAUAUUGGACAAUGGGCGCAAGCCUGAUCCAGCCAUACCGCGUGGGUGAAGAAGGCCUUCGGGUUGUAAAGCCCUGUUGGUGGGAAAGAAAAGCAGCAGGUUAAUACCCCGCUGUUCUGACGGUACCCAAAGAAUAAGCACCGGCUAACUUCGUG